rnacentral:rRNA from 1 species
AUUGAACGCUGGCGGCAGGCCUAACACAUGCAAGUCGAACGAGUGGCGGACGGGUGAGUAAUGUCUGUGCAACUGCCUGAUGGAGGGGGAUAACUACCGGAAACGGUAGCUAAUACCGCAUACCAUCGGAUGUGCCCAGAUGGGAUUAGCUAGUAGGUGGGGUAAAGGCUCACCAAGGCGACGAUCCCUUGCUGGUCUGAGAGGAUGACCAUCCACACUGGAACGGAGACACGGUCCAGACUCCUACGGGAGGCAGCAGUGGGGAAGAUUGGGCAAUGGGCGAAAGCCUGAUCCAGCGAUGCCGCGUGUGUGAAGAAGGUGUUCGGGUCGUAAAGCACUUUUAGUAGAGAAGCGUUAUCAACAGAAGAAGCACCGGCUAACUACGUGCCAGCAGCAGCGGUAAUAC